CCUACGGGUGGCAGCAGUGGGGGAUAUUGCACAAUGGGGGGAACCCUGAUGCAGCGACGCCGCGUGGGUGAAGGAGUGCUUCGGCAUGUAAAGCCCUAUCGGCAGGGAAGAAGCAAGACGGUACCUGACUAAGAAGCUCCGGCUAACUACGUGCCAGCAGCCGCGGUAAUACGUAGGGGGCGAGCGUUAUCCGGAUUCACUGGGUGGAAAGGGAGCGUAGACGGCCAUGCAAGCCAGGGGUGAAAGCCCGGGGCCCAACCCCGGGACUGCCCUUGGAACUGCAUGGCUGGAGUGCGGGAGGGGCAGGCGGAAUUCCUGGGGUAGCGGUGAAAUGCGUAGAUAUCAGGAGGAACACCGGCGGCGAAGGCGGCCUGCUGGAACAUAACUGACGCUGAUGCGCGAAAGCGUGGGGAGCAAACAGGAGUAGAUACCCGGGUAGUC
rnacentral:rRNA from 1 species